rnacentral:snoRNA from 1 species
CCUACAUAAGUUGUCUUAUUUUAUGUGGACAAAGACUUAUGGAGAGGUACAAAAAUAAAUCCUCUUUUGCAACACAGAACUCAUUAUACAGUAUGAGUUUUGAUACAUCUAAGAAGAAAUAUG